GUGUCAGCCGCCGCGGUAAUACGAAGGGGGCUAGCGUUGUUCGGAAUUACUGGGCGUAAAGCGCGCGCAGGUGGUCUUUCAAGUCAGUGGUGAAAGCCCGGAGCUCAACUCCGGAAAUGCCAUUGAAACUGUGAGACUUGAGGACGAGAGAGGUGAGUGGAAUUCCCAGUGUAGAGGUGAAAUUCGUAGAUAUUGGGAAGAACACCGGUGGCGAAGGCGGCUCACUGGCUCGUAUCUGACGCUCAGGCGCGACAGCGUGGGGAUCAAACAGGAUUAGAAACCCGCGUAGUCC
rnacentral:rRNA from 1 species